rnacentral:rRNA from 1 species
ACACUCCUGCGGGAGGCAGCAGUGGGGAAUUUUGGACAAUGGGCGAAAGCCUGAUCCAGCAAUGCCGCGUGCAGGAUGAAGGCCUUCGGGUUGUAAACUGCUUUUGUACGGAACGAAAAAGCUCCUUCUAAUACAGGGGGCCCAUGACGGUACCGUAAGAAUAAGCACCGGCUAACUACGUGCCAGCAGCCGCGGUAAUACGUAGGGUGCGAGCGUUAAUCGGAAUUACUGGGCGUAAAGCGUGCGCAGGCGGUUAUGUAAGACAGAUGUGAAAUCCCCGGGCUCAACCUGGGAACUGCAUUUGUGACUGCAUGGCUAGAGUACGGUAGAGGGGGAUGGAAUUCCGCGUGUAGCAGUGAAAUGCGUAGAUAUGCGGAGGAACACCGAUGGCUAAGGCAAUCCCCUGGACCUGUACUGACGCUCAUGCACGAAAGCGUGGGGAGCAAACAGGAUUAGAAACCCGUGUAGUCCC